UGACCCCGUGCGGGAGAGUCCGGAAGACAGUGGAAGCACUGGCUCCGGCGCCGAAGGAGCAAAUCCUCCCCGGAAUCUCUCAGGCAUCCGUACCGCACGGACGAG
rnacentral:ncRNA from 3 species